rnacentral:rRNA from 1 species
UUAAGCGACUAAGCGUACACGGUGGAUGCCCUGGCAGUCAGAGGCGAUGAAGGACGUGCUAAUCUGCGAUAAGCGUCGGUAAGGUGAUAUGAACCGUUAUAACCGGCGAUUUCCGAAUGGGGAAACCCAGUGUGAUUCGUCACACUAUCAUUAACUGAAUCCAUAGGUUAAUGAGGCGAACCGGGGGAACUGAAACAUCUAAGUACCCCGAGGAAAAGAAAUCAACCGAGAUUCCCCCAGUAGCGGCGAGCGAACGGGGAGCAGCCCAGAGCCUGAAUCAGUGUGUGUGUUAGUGGAAGCGUCUGGAAAGGCGCGCGAUACAGGGUGACAGCCCCGUACACAAAAAUGCACAUGCUGUGAGCUCGAUGAGUAGGGCGGGACACGUGGUAUCCUGUCUGAAUAUGGGGGGACCAUCCUCCAAGGCUAAAUACUCCUGACUGACCGAUAGUGAACCAGUACCGUGAGGGAAAGGCGAAAAGAACCCCGGCGAGGGGAGUGAAAAAGAACCUGAAACCGUGUACGUACAAGCAGUGGGAGCACGCUUAGGCGUGUGACUGCGUACCUUUUGUAUAAUGGGUCAGCGACUUAUAUUCUGUAGCAAGGUUAACCGAAUAGGGGAGCCGAAGGGAAACCGAGUCUUAACUGGGCGUUAAGUUGCAGGGUAUAGACCCGAAACCCGGUGAUCUAGCCAUGGGCAGGUUGAAGGUUGGGUAACACUAACUGGAGGACCGAACCGACUAAUGUUGAAAAAUUAGCGGAUGACUUGUGGCUGGGGGUGAAAGGCCAAUCAAACCGGGAGAUAGCUGGUUCUCCCCGAAAGCUAUUUAGGUAGCGCCUCGUGAAUUCAUCUCCGGGGGUAGAGCACUGUUUCGGCAAGGGGGUCAUCCCGACUUACCAACCCGAUGCAAACUGCGAAUACCGGAGAAUGUUAUCACGGGAGACACACGGCGGGUGCUAACGUCCGUCGUGAAGAGGGAAACAACCCAGACCGCCAGCUAAGGUCCCAAAGUCAUGGUUAAGUGGGAAACGAUGUGGGAAGGCCCAGACAGCCAGGAUGUUGGCUUAGAAGCAGCCAUCAUUUAAAGAAAGCGUAAUAGCUCACUGGUCGAGUCGGCCUGCGCGGAAGAUGUAACGGGGCUAAACCAUGCACCGAAGCUGCGGCAGCGACGCUUAUGCGUUGUUGGGUAGGGGAGCGUUCUGUAAGCCUGUGAAGGUGUACUGUGAGGUAUGCUGGAGGUAUCAGAAGUGCGAAUGCUGACAUAAGUAACGAUAAAGCGGGUGAAAAGCCCGCUCGCCGGAAGACCAAGGGUUCCUGUCCAACGUUAAUCGGGGCAGGGUGAGUCGACCCCUAAGGCGAGGCCGAAAGGCGUAGUCGAUGGGAAACAGGUUAAUAUUCCUGUACUUGGUGUUACUGCGAAGGGGGGACGGAGAAGGCUAUGUUGGCCGGGCGACGGUUGUCCCGGUUUAAGCGUGUAGGCUGGUUUUCCAGGCAAAUCCGGAAAAUCAAGGCUGAGGCGUGAUGACGAGGCACUACGGUGCUGAAGCAACAAAUGCCCUGCUUCCAGGAAAAGCCUCUAAGCAUCAGGUAACAUCAAAUCGUACCCCAAACCGACACAGGUGGUCAGGUAGAGAAUACCAAGGCGCUUGAGAGAACUCGGGUGAAGGAACUAGGCAAAAUGGUGCCGUAACUUCGGGAGAAGGCACGCUGAUAUGUAGGUGAAGUGACUUACUCAUGGAGCUGAAAUCAGUCGAAGAUACCAGCUGGCUGCAACUGUUUAUUAAAAACACAGCACUGUGCAAACACGAAAGUGGACGUAUACGGUGUGACGCCUGCCCGGUGCCGGAAGGUUAAUUGAUGGGGUCAGCGCAAGCGAAGCUCUUGAUCGAAGCCCCGGUAAACGGCGGCCGUAACUAUAACGGUCCUAAGGUAGCGAAAUUCCUUGUCGGGUAAGUUCCGACCUGCACGAAUGGCGUAAUGAUGGCCAGGCUGUCUCCACCCGAGACUCAGUGAAAUUGAACUCGCUGUGAAGAUGCAGUGUACCCGCGGCAAGACGGAAAGACCCCGUGAACCUUUACUAUAGCUUGACACUGAACAUUGAGCCUUGAUGUGUAGGAUAGGUGGGAGGCUUUGAAGUGUGGACGCCAGUCUGCAUGGAGCCGACCUUGAAAUACCACCCUUUAAUGUUUGAUGUUCUAACGUGGACCCGUAAUCCGGGUUGCGGACAGUGUCUGGUGGGUAGUUUGACUGGGGCGGUCUCCUCCUAAAGAGUAACGGAGGAGCACGAAGGUUGGCUAAUCCUGGUCGGACAUCAGGAGGUUAGUGCAAUGGCAUAAGCCAGCUUGACUGCGAGCGUGACGGCGCGAGCAGGUGCGAAAGCAGGUCAUAGUGAUCCGGUGGUUCUGAAUGGAAGGGCCAUCGCUCAACGGAUAAAAGGUACUCCGGGGAUAACAGGCUGAUACCGCCCAAGAGUUCAUAUCGACGGCGGUGUUUGGCACCUCGAUGUCGGCUCAUCACAUCCUGGGGCUGAAGUAGGUCCCAAGGGUAUGGCUGUUCGCCAUUUAAAGUGGUACGCGAGCUGGGUUUAGAACGUCGUGAGACAGUUCGGUCCCUAUCUGCCGUGGGCGCUGGAGAACUGAGGGGGGCUGCUCCUAGUACGAGAGGACCGGAGUGGACGCAUCACUGGUGUUCGGGUUGUCAUGCCAAUGGCACUGCCCGGUAGCUAAAUGCGGAAGAGAUAAGUGCUGAAAGCAUCUAAGCACGAAACUUGCCCCGAGAUGAGUUCUCCCUGACUCCUUGAGAGUCCUGAAGGAACGUUGAAGACGACGACGUUGAUAGGCCGGGUGUGUAAGCGCAGCGAUGCGUUGAGCUAACCGGUACUAAUGAACCGUGAGGCUUAACCUU